rnacentral:rRNA from 1 species
UACAGAGGCCUCGAGCGUUAGGCGGAAUCACUGGGCUUAAAGCGUGUGUAGGUGGAUGCCUAAGUGCCUUGUGAAAUCCCACGGCUUAACCGUGGAAUUGCUGGGCAUACUGGGUGUCUUGAGCCACUCAGGGGCUACCGGAACAAAUGGUGGAGCGGUGAAAUGCGUAGAUAUCAUUUGGAACGCCAAUGGUGAAAACAGGUAGC